UACGAGGGCUUCGAGCGUUAUCCGGAUUUAUUGGGCGUAAAGAGUGCGCAGGUGGUUUGGUGCGUCUGUCGUUAAAUGUCUCAGCUUAACUGGGUCGCCGCGGGAGAUACGACCAAACUAGAGCGUGUGAGAGGUAGCUGGAACUCACGGUGUAGGGGUGACAUCCGUUGAUAUCGUGGGGAACACCAAAGGCGAAGGCAGGCUACUGGCACAUCGCUGACACUCAGGCACGAAAGCGUGGGGAGCAAAAAGG
rnacentral:misc_RNA from 1 species